AGCAUAUCUAGUAUUGGAGGCACUGCCUGCCCAGUGACACUAGUUUAACGGCCGCGGUAUCCUGACCGUGCAAAGGUAGCAUAAUCAUUUGUUCUCUAAAUAGGGACUUGUAUGAAUGGCCACACGAGGGUUUAACUGUCUCUUACUUCCAAUCAGUGAAAUUGACCUUCCCGUGAAGAGGCGGGAAUAUAUUAAUAAGACGAGAAGACCCUAUGGAGCUUCAAUUAACUAACCCACAAUAAUCUACCAAUAUGCCAACCAGGCCUAACAUAAUUUUAUUGCUGGAUUAGCAAUUUAGGUUGGGGUGACCUCGGAGAAUAAAACAACCUCCGAGUGAUUUAAUCUAAGACAAACCAGUCGAAGCGUCCUAUCAUUAAUUGAUCCAAUAACUUGAUCAACGGAACAAGUUACCCUAGGGAUAACAGCGCAAUCCUAUUUGAGAGUCCAUAUCAACAAUAGGGU
rnacentral:rRNA from 1 species